UUGACCUCAAAUCAGGUAGGAUUNACCCGCUGAAC
rnacentral:rRNA from 1 species